rnacentral:rRNA from 1 species
CCACGCCGUAAACGAUGUCUACUUGGAGGUUGUGCCCUUGAGGCGUGGCUUCCGGAGCUAACGCGUUAAGUAGACCGCCUGGGGAGUACGGCCGCAAGGUUAAAACUCAAAUGAAUUGACGGGGGCCCGCACAAGCGGUGGAGCAUGUGGUUUAAUUCGAUGCAACGCGAAGAACCUUACCUGGUCUUGACAUCCACAGAAGAAUCCAGAGAUGGAUUUGUGCCUUCGGGAACUGUGAGACAGGUGCUGCAUGGCUGUCGUCAGCUCGUGUUGUGAAAUGUUGGGUUAAGUCCCGCAACGAGCGCAACCCUUAUCCUUUGUUGCCAGCGGUCCGGCCGGGAACUCAAAGGAGACUGCCAGUGAUAAACUGGAGGAAGGUGGGGAUGACGUCAAGUCAUCAUGGCCCUUACGACCAGGGCUACACACGUGCUACAAUGGCGCAUACAAAGAGAAGCGACCUCGCGAGAGCAAGCGGACCUCAUAAAGUGCGUCGUAGUCCGGAUUGGAGUCUGCAACUCGACUCCAUGAAGUCGGAAUCGCUAGUAAUCGUGGAUCAGAAUGCCACGGUGAAUACGUUCCCGGGCCUUGUACACACCGCCCGUCACACCAUGGGAGUGGGUUGCAAAAGAAGUAGGUAGCUUAACCUUCGGGAGGGCGCUUACCACUUUGUGAUUCAUGACUGGGGUGAAGUCGUAACAAGGUAACCGUAGGGGAACCUGC